rfam:Felis catus isolate Cinnamon breed Abyssinian chromosome D3, whole genome shotgun sequence.
GCCUGGGUGGCUCAGUCGGUUAAGCGUCCGACUUCCACCCGGGCCAUGAUCUCACAGCUCGUGAGUUCGAGCCCCGCCUCGGGCU